rnacentral:ribozyme from 1 species
GAGAUAGAUAAAGAAAGAGAGAGACAAAAAGAGAAGAAAAUAGCAAAGAAAAAGAAAAGACAAAGUCAUAUGGGAUCACCAGCGACGGGUUCUUCUUCCCCUUCUUACCCUCACGCUUUCUGUCCUUCUUCUUCUUUCUC